rnacentral:tRNA from 1 species
GUAAACAUAGCUUAUUUAAAGCACUGACUUUGUAAGUCAAUGAAGCCAAAAGCUGUUUAUAC